GAUGAACGCUGGCGGCGUGCCUAAUACAUGCAAGUCGAGCGAACAGACGAGGAGCUUGCUCCUCUGACGUUAGCGGCGGACGGGUGAGUAACACGUGGAUAACCUACCUAUAAGACUGGGAUAACUUCGGGAAACCGGAGCUAAUACCGGAUAAUAUAUUGAACCGCAUGGUUCAAUAGUGAAAGACGGUUUUGCUGUCACUUAUAGAUGGAUCCGCGCCGCAUUAGCUAGUUGGUAAGGUAACGGCUUACCAAGGCAACGAUGCGUAGCCGACCUGAGAGGGUGAUCGGCGACACUGGAACUGAGACACGGUCCAGACUCCUACGGGAGGCAGCAGUAGGGAAUCUUACGCAAUGGGCGAAAGCCUGACGGAGCAACGCCGCGUGAGUGAUGAAGGUCUUCGGAUCGUAAAACUCUGUUAUUAGGGAAGAACAAAUGUGUAAGUAACUAUGCACGUCUUGACGGUACCUAAUCAGAAAGCCACGGCUAACUACGUG
rnacentral:rRNA from 1 species